rnacentral:lncRNA from 1 species
GGAGGCGGCAGAGGUGUGUGGAUUGGCGGGGGUUCCCUCCGACCACCUCCUCCUCCGCCGCCGCCUCAGUUCAGCGUCGCCUUCGAUGCACUCCACGCCUGGAUGGCCACCUUUUCAGACGACUUUCAAAGGCGUCUUCUCCGACCCAUCGAUUUCAUGGGCAUUUCCGCCGGCAAAGUGGUGGUGGCGAUACGCCUCGCUCACCGCUUUAACCCCAUCUUUAACCGCUUCUCUGGCGACUUCCACGCCGCGGUUUCUCUCGUGUUCUCAGGUUUAACAGCUUCCCCGGUCCGAAACUGGGUUGAAGUUGGUUUUCCGAUUUUCUCCGGC